AAUUUCUUUGGUGGCGGGAGCAAUCCUACCGCCAGAGGUUAUAACUAAACCAAACUUUUUAUUUACAGUCAAACUUGAUUUAUUAUUACAAUAGUCAAAACUUUCAACAACGGAUCUCUUGGUUCUCGCAUCGAUGAAGAACGCAGCGAAAUGCGAUACGUAAUAUGAAUUGCAGAUAUUCGUGAAUCAUCGAAUCUUUGAACGCACAUUGCGCCCUUUGGUAUUCCAAAGGGCAUGCCUGUUUGAGCGUCAUUUCUCCCUCAAACCCCCGGGUUUGGUGUUGAGCAAUACGCUAGGUUUGUUUGAAAGAAUUUAACGUGGAAACUUAUUUUAAGCGACUUAGGUUUAUCCAAAAACGCUUAUUUUGCUAGUGGCCACCACANUUUAUUUCAUAACUUUGACCUCAAAUCAGGUAGGACUACCCGCUGAACUUAAGCAUAUCAAUAAGCGGNGGA
rnacentral:rRNA from 1 species